UGUAGAGAGAGAUAAGGUUUUCCACAGGCCUCCUUUUCUGCAGGCUAAACACUCCUUGCUCCCUCAGGUCCUCCUCAUCAGACUGUGCUGCAGACCCUCCACGUCCUUCUUGUGAGCAAGGAGCCCAAAACUGAAUACAAAUGCAGCAAAUCAGAAGAUGCUCUUACCCCUCCAGGCAACACCAGGUUACUGGUCAGAGCCCAAAGUUCAGAACCCAGUGCUUUAAGCAAAAUUAUGCUGUGCUUGGAGGCUGUGUGUUCACCAAAAGGAAUUAGAAGUAAGUGAUUGUUAUAUUGCUUCCCACAGUCAUUUAGUGUUGGUCUUCACUGUGGCCAUUUCCUGUUUCAGUAAAAUGUUAUUU
rnacentral:lncRNA from 1 species